AAGAAAAAAGGUUCUUCAAAGGUUCUGAAACGAUGGUAAAGGUUCUAUAUAGAACCAUAGCUUACUGAAGAACCAUUUUUUGCUGAAAUGGUUCUUUGUCUUGGCAAAAGGGUUCUUUAUUUCCCUCCUUUUUUGAUUUUAAAUUUAGUCAGUUAUUUUCAAGCUGCCUCCUGAUUAUUUUCACCUGUAAAAGCUCUGAAUCAUCAGUCCUGCUGAACCGCCUGCAGACUAACAACACAAACAGGUAAACUUUAUACUGUAAGCUUCAUUCCCUUUAAAGCAGAGUUUUCAUAUGUGAGGUAAUCUUACUGGGAGUGAAGGCAGUGCGUAUGACCGCUUGAUAUGAAAGACACAUCCUGUUUUUAAAGGUGGAUCAUGAGUGAAGCUCUGCAGGUCUGCCAUUGGCUUGAUAACAGUGGUUUAUGUGAAUUGAGGGAAUUCAAUUUAUAAAUAAAUCUUUCACCAAACAUUCACCUAUUUACUUACAAAACAGGUAUCUUGAGCAGAGUCAUAUUAAAACUUCUGUCAAAUCAUGUUUUACAUACAGUAUUUAAGCAAAUUCCAGGCUAAUAUUAAGUUGUUUUGUCUCCAUGUCUUAUCCUUUCUCCCAUCUCCAACAGAUCCAAAUCCUGAUGCUCAACCUUGUAUGAUGAUGGGUGAUGGAGAUCUGUGUUAAUCACAGCCUGCGUCUCAAGAUCAACAUGACAGACCAUUUCUUAUCUUACUCUUAUCUGACUUAAUGUUCAGGAUCAUUGCAACAAAACAAAGAACAUUGGAUGGAGUAUUGGAGUAUUGGAUGAUCCCGUAAAGAAAAUAAUAUGGACUUUUUUGGUGAGAUUCUACAAAGAUUGACACAAUCCUAUUGAAUUUUAUUUUUACAGUUAAUAAUGCAUUAUAAAUGUCCCGUUCAUUUGUAUUCUAUGUCAUCGAUCUGUUUGUGCUAAAAUGUAUACAUCUGAAUGUAAUGUCAAUAAUAUGUUAAUAUUCAGGAUUUAUUAUCAUUUGCAUGUUUUGAUGUUGCAUGUCAUGAUUUUAUUGAUUUCAUGUAAUUGUUGUCUAUUUAAAAUGAUUUUAAUUGCCAAAUUUUAUUGUUAAUUUAUUUAAUAUUGAAGCUGUUAUUUAACAUCCAUAUCUUAUUUGAGUAGUGAUUUGUUAUAUUUGCAUAAUAAUUAAUAUAUUUAUUCUGAUUGUGAUUUUAAUGCACAUAUUUAUUAUUGUAUGAUAUCUCAUGUAAUGAAAAAGUGAAAAUAAAAGUAUGUUCUGAUGUCUUGCAAUUCUGUUUUUAAACUGUUAAACCUUAUAAAGUGCUAUAAAUAAGAAAAAACAAAUAAAAAAUAAUCCUCCUGACUGCUGAUAAAUGAAAGGGUUCUUUAUAGCACCACUGAGGUUCUAUUUAGCACUUUUUCAAGGCAAGGUUCUAUAUAGAACCAUCUAAAAAAGGGUUCUAUAUAGUACCAGAAGGGGUGCUGCUAUUGUUACAAGCUGAAGAACCCUUAUUUGGUACUAUAUAGAACCAU